rnacentral:lncRNA from 1 species
AGGAGGUGGUGGCAUGUGCCUAUACCUUGCAGACCAUCUCGAGUUUAUCUCAUUUAAUCUGCAAAAUACUCUGAGAUAGGAAAUAUAAUCUGAGAUGAUCCCUGUUGCCCAAACUCCCAGGUUAGUGAAUGGGGAGGAAGGAUUCGAAUUCAUUUCUCUGACUCUGAAGCUCCUGCUUUUUGUACCAUAUGUCUCUGUCUCUCCCUAAGGCAUGGAGAGAUUACAACCCUUGUCCAAAGUCACUUCAUCUGGAAGAGGUCAGGCUAAACUGAAGGUACACUGACCCUUGUCUAAGUCUUUCUGGAUCAACUUUCAUUGUAAAUAUUUUCUCCCUGAUUGUGCAACGCUCAGCAGUUACUUACCAGGGCUGCAAAGUGAAGAUAAGCUUGCAAGAGAGGAACCACCCACCUCCCCCGAGUGAACCAUAGGCAAUUUCUGAAUGACUCUCAGGCUGUCAAAGGCAAUUGCCACAAGAGGUCAACGCCAAGGCUGCUCUGCAGAUAUGACCAGGGCUCAUUUUUUCCAUGAUCUUAGAGAAACUGGAUAAGCCCGGGGCAAAUCGGGCCCAGAGAUGAGAUGGUAGGACAUUAUGGCAGGCCCUGAAACCCCAGCGUGCCCCAGCAGAGGCCUGUGGUGGCCUCUGGGGAGGUGGGCGGUGGUGGAGGUCCGUGUGAGAGGGCAGCAGCAGCAGCAGAUUAGGCCCUGUGGAAGCCCACUUCCUUCCAGAGACAGUGCCAGGGGAGGAAGGGUCCAGACUGAGGGCAGGACGGGCCAGGGGGUGUGGCAGGCGGAUGCCCCCCUGGGCAGGUGACCUCAUCCACCCCUCCCGUGUCGCCUCCUCUGAUCUGCUCCCUCUGGAGAUGGGGAAAUCCAGAGUAGGGGCAACAGGAAGUAUAUUCCCAAGAAGACUGUAGACCCCCGCACAGGGAAACGAUGGAGCUCAGGAGGGGCGCUGAUCUCGGGAGCCUGGAUCCACCAGUUAUGCAAGUGAUGAAGUGAGUACGCACGGUCCUCGAGGCCAGGGCCGGCGCAGUAAGAACGAACAGGUUGUUCUGGAAAAUUGUCUGGCAGCCUCCCCGCGGCCUGCCUGCAGGAACUGGCAUCUGUGGAGUACUUUGCCUUGCUUGUUGAUCCACAGCACUUACCACAUCCUGGAGAAACAGGUCAAUACAGGUGGCCCUCAGGAGCCAUGGGCCCCAUGUUUGGAACUCUGACCCACACAGGGGCAACCUGAACUCCUGAGCCAUAGCCAACCCCUCCCACCCGGGGCCUCUGAUGAGCUGGGCCCCCCUGCAAAUAACGUUCCUGUCUGUUUCCAUCUGUGAGCUCCUGCUCGCGAUCUAAGGCCCAGCUGAAAGUGCUUCUUCCUUCCUGGGCCACCUUCCUUUCAUUCUCAGCUUUUCUAAAUUAUGAACAUUUCAAACAUUCCCAAAGGAGAGAGAGUGCACGAUGCACCUGAACCAUAUGUCGCCCAGAAUCCAUGGCUAUCAAGAUCUUACCACAGUUGCUUCAUGGAUCCCUGCCUCUACUUAUUUCUUUCUGAGUUGCUUUAAUGUUUCACGCCACUUUAUAUCUAUGUACUAGAUUUUGCAUCUCUAAAAUAGAGGGGCAUUUUUAUACGUAAUGAUGUUAUGGUCGUCUGGCCUAAAAAUUGCCAACACUUCCUUGCUAUCUAUCAUUCAAUACCCAGUCCAUAUUGAAAUUUCCCUUCUGAAAAUUAAUUUUUGGAAUCAAGUCUACCAUCGGAUUUGGUUGAAUUUCUGAAGGAAGGGGGUCCAUUGCUCUGCCGAAUGUCCCCACAUGGCUUCUGUCUCCAUCCACCACGUAUGUCCAGCUUGCGGCCCUGACUCUAGGUGCCCUCAAUUAUGCCCACUGUGGAAACGGCCUUUCUGCCACAUCUGAAGCUUGAGCCUUGGAGGCAGGCAUGACGUCUCAUCUCUGUGUUCUUUGUGGUUCCCAAGGCAAUGCGUGGUGUAUCCGAAGUGCUCCACUGAGUCUCGAAAACGUCCCUGCAUUGGAGGGAUCAUGGAGUGAAUUUUGUCUUUGCCACUCCACUUACAACUUCAAGUCUGGAGAUUUUGAAACACCCCAUGACUGGGAGUGACCGCUGGCUCGGAGAGGGUGAAGUACAGACAUGAAAGAAGCAAUGCCUGGGAAGGUACUCAAGAAAAAGCAUGAUGUGGUGGGGAAGGGCUGCAGCCCAGCCCUGUGCCUGCAUCCCACGCAUUUCUACUUGAUUCCUUAGCUCCCUAAACCUUGCUUGUCUCAUCUGUAAGGUGGAGAUAAAAAUAACAGUCUUCUUUUAUUAUGUGAGUUGCAAAUGACAGAGUGCAUGUGAAGGCUCCUGGUGCCAAAAAUGUUAGCAGAAUUGAGUGGAAGCAGAGUGAACACUCACUGAGGGCCGGGAGACUUAGGAGGGAGCUGGACCCCCCGGGAUGCUUUGCUGGAUGACCACAGCUUGGGGAGGGGGCUACUGCCUUUGGAGAAUGGCAACACUAUCAUGCAGCUCAGAAGGCUGGAGUCUAAUACCCUGCUCAGCAACCAGGCAUAGUCCAUUCCAUCACAGAGCCUGGGUUCACCUUGAGGACAGUGAGAACUCAGCCCUGGCCAUGUGGAAGUCAAAGCGUGCAGCACCUACGUACAUGGACCUCACCUGUCAUCCAAGUCUCCAAACCACACUGCAAUACAAACAUCGCCAAAGUAGCAGGCUUCUCUCCUCUGGGUGACAUCCACAGGGCAGAUCUGAGCAACACUUAGUGUCUCCUGGGACCUUCCCAGCCUCGGACAGAAUGGUUGUUAGAGGAACAAGGCACCAGGGGCGUGAUGAGAGCUUAGCUGAAAGGAGAGAAGACUCAGCAAGCACAUCACCUUGA